rnacentral:rRNA from 1 species
CCUACGGGCGGCUGCAGUGGGGAAUAUUGGACAAUGGGGGCAACCCUGAUCCAGCCAUGCCGCGUGUGUGAAGAAGGCCCUCGGGUUGUAAAGCACUUUCAGUGAGGAAGAACGCCUGGUGGUUAAUACCCAUCAGGAAAGACAUCACUCACAGAAGAAGCACCGGCUAACUCCGUGCCAGCAGCCGCGGUAAUACGGAGGGUGCGAGCGUUAAUCGGAAUUACUGGGCGUAAAGCGCGCGUAGGUGGCUUGAUAAGCCGGUUGUGAAAGCCCCGGGCUCAACCUGGGAACGGCAUCCGGAACUAUCAAGCUAGAGUGCAGGAGAGGAAGGUAGAAUUCCCGGUGUAGCGGUGAAAUGCGUAGAGAUCGGGAGGAAUACCAGUGGCGAAGGCGGCCUUCUGGACUGACACUGACACUGAGGUGCGAAAGCGUGGGUAGCAAACAGGAUUAGAUACCCCGGUAGUC